rnacentral:rRNA from 1 species
UACGUAGGGGGCGAGCGUUGUCCGGAUUUAUUGGGCGUAAAGAGCGUGUAGGCGGUUCGGUAGGUCCGUUGUGAAAACUCGAGGCUCAACCUCGAGACGCCGAUGGAAACCCCCGAACUAGAGUCCGGAAGAGGCGAGUGGAACUCCUGGUGUAGCGGUGGAAUGCGCAGAUAUCAGGAAGAACACCAACGGCGAAGGCAGCUCGCUGGGACGGUACUGACGCUGAGACGCGAAAGCGUGGGGAGCGAACAGG